GGUAGAUAAUUAACAACCAACAUUUCUGUUACGUUUAUGCUCGUACAUGCCUGUCUUUUAAGCAAUCACAUUUUCUGCAGAAGAUGAACAUGUUUAGAUAUCACUGGUUCUCGGGCAUUCUGCGCUGCAAAAUACUUUGUUCAUGAAGAAAAACAAGACAGAUGCAAACAGCACACACCAGCAUGCCAGAUGUUCUGCAGUACAAAUACAAGGACAAGGACCCUGCCACCAAGAGGCUCUACUGGGAAAAUCCUGAGAUCAGCAAUGCAGUGUGUGAGGCUGAAGUAUUUACCCAGGGAUUGGCCUAGCUCUGCAGAAAUGAUAGCAAACGCAUAAUUUCCCAACAGGAGC